rnacentral:tRNA from 1 species
UUAGAAAAAUAGGGAUCGA